rnacentral:rRNA from 1 species
GAUAAACGCUGGCGGCGUGCAUCAGGCAUGCAAGUCGAACGAUCUUGCCGGUUUCGGCCGGCCGGAGAGUGGCGGACGGGUGAGUAACACGUGAGUAACCUGUCCGAAAGUGGGGAAUAACUCGCCGAAAGGUGAGCUAAUACCGCAUGUUGUGGUCCUUCUGCGGGAGGAUUACUAAAGGCCUUGGUCGCUUUCGGAGGGGCUUGCGGCCGAUUAGCUAGUUGGUGGGGUAAUGGCCCACCAAGGCGACGAUCGGUAGCUGGUCUGAGAGGAUGGUCAGCCACACGGGGACUGAGACACGGCCCCGACUCCUACGGGAGGCAGCAGCUAGGAAUCUUGGGCAAUGGGCGAAAGCCUGACCCAGCAACGCCGCGUGGGCGACGAAGGCCUUCGGGUCGUAAAGCCCUUUUGCAGGGGCAGAUAGUGACGGUACCCUGCGAAUAAGCCACGGCUAACUACGUGC